AAGGGCACCACAAGAACGCGUGGAGCAUGUGGCUUAAUUUGACUCAACGCGGGAAAUCUUACCGGGUCCGGACACACUGAGGAUUGACAGGCAAUAUUAUAUAAUAAUCAGACUCUCGGGUCUGUGUUUUAUAUAUGUUAAAUAUGCUAGUCCUUUCAUGAUUAUGUGAUAGGUGGUGCAUGGCCGUUCUUAGUUCGUGGAGUGAUCUGUCUGCUUAAUUGCGUUUCACUAUUGGGCUUAUAUAAUUACGUAUGCACGCUAACGCUUUGACCCCUUUUCUACGGAAUUGUGCGUGUCUUUGUUUCGUUUAACUCAUACAAUUAAGCCCUGAAAGCAACGAACGUGACCGCAACCUCUUGUUGCUCUCAAUUUUGGUUCUUG
rnacentral:rRNA from 1 species